UUACCCCAAAGGGGGUAAUUGGGUGGUAUAAUUUAUGGUAGUGGGGAAUGCGUUCGCGCUAUCCCCGU
rnacentral:snRNA from 10 species